GAUGAACGCUGGCGGCGUGCCUAAUACAUGCAAGUCGAGCGAACGGACGAGAAGCUUGCUUCUCUGAUGUUAGCGGCGGACGGGUGAGUAACACGUGGAUAACCUACCUAUAAGACUGGGAUAACUUCGGGAAACCGGAGCUAAUACCGGAUAAUAUUUUGAACCGCAUGGUUCAAAAGUGAAAGACGGUCUUGCUGUCACUUAUAGAUGGAUCCGCGCUGCAUUAGCUAGUUGGUAAGGUAACGGCUUACCAAGGCAACGAUGCAUAGCCGACCUGAGAGGGUGAUCGGCCACACUGGAACUGGGACACGGUCCAGACUCCUAAGGGAGGCAGCAGUAGGGAAUCCUCCGCAAUGGGCGGAAGCCUGACGGAGCAACGCCGCGUGAGUGAUGAAGGUCUUCGGAUCGUAAAACUCUGUUAUUAGGGAAGAACAUAUGUGUAAGUAACUGUGCACAUCUUGACGGUACCUAAUCAGAAAGCCACGGCUAACUACGUG
rnacentral:rRNA from 1 species